CACUGCAUAGCUCAGUCUGGUAGAGCACCUGCUUUGGGAGCAGGGUGUCUUAGGUUCGAAUCCUAAUGUGGUGA
rnacentral:tRNA from 1 species